GACGAACGCUGGCGGCGUGCUUAACACAUGCAAGUCGAACGAAGAGCGAUGGAAGCUUGCUUCUAUCAAUCUUAGUGGCGAACGGGUGAGUAACGCGUAAUCAACCUGCCCUUCAGAGGGGGACAACAGUUGGAAACGACUGCUAAUACCGCAUACGAUCCAAUCUCGGCAUCGGGACUGGAUGAAAGGUGGCCUCUAUUUAUAAGCUAUCACUGAAGGGGGGGAUUGCGUCUGAUUAGCUAGUUGGAGGGGUAACGGCCCACCAAGGCGAUGAUAAGUAGCCGGUCUGAGAGGAUGAACGGCCACAUUGGGACUGAGACACGGCCCAGACUCCUACGGGAGGCAGCAGUGGGGAAUCUUCCGCAAUGGACGAAAGUCUGACGGAGCAACGCCGCGGGAGUGAUGACGGCCUUCGGGUUGUAAAGCUCUGUUAAUCGGGACGAAUGGUUUUUGUGCGAAUAGUGCGAGGAUUUGACGGUACCGGAAUAGAAAGCCACGGCUAACUACGUG
rnacentral:rRNA from 1 species